CUCUUACGUCUAAUCAAAGUAGAAAGUGUAUUCAGAAUUUUUAUCAUUCUUCUAAACUUUUAGAAGUCGUCUUCUACGGAUAAGAAUACCUGAUUUUUUGCGAAAAUUAAUGAAAUUUCAGUUAAGGAAAUAUUCUAAACAUCUCCUAAAAAUAUUCUAACUUCCUAAAACGUGUUAUGAUCGAUUUUACUUGAAAUUUUUUUUAAAAAAUGAUUCUCCCUUCUCUUCUUCAUCAAUCUAUGAGUUUUCCAUAGUUUUUCUUUUGAUUCUUCUCAUAAACUCUUGUUCUCUAUGAUGCAUAUCUAUACUUUUUUUCUUUUUUUGUUUUCGAUUGCCUUUC
rnacentral:lncRNA from 1 species